CACUCCUACGGGAGGCAGCAGUGGGGAAUUUUGGACAAUGGGCGAAAGCCUGAUCCAGCAAUGCCGCGUGAGUGAAGAAGGCCUUCGGGUUGUAAAGCUCUUUUGUCAGGGAAGAAACGGUGAAAGCUAAUAUCUUUUGCUAAUGACGGUACCUGAAGAAUAAGCACCGGCUAACUACGUGCCAGCAGCCGCGGUAAUACGUAGGGUGCAAGCGUUAAUCGGAAUUACUGGGCGUAAAGCGUGCGCAGGCGGUUUUGUAAGUCUGAUGUGAAAUCCCCGGGCUCAACCUGGGAAUUGCAUUGGAGACUGCAAGGCUAGAAUCUGGCAGAGGGGGGUAGAAUUCCACGUGUAGCAGUGAAAUGCGUAGAUAUGUGGAGGAACACCGAUGGCGAAGGCAGCCCCCUGGGUCAAGAUUGACGCUCAUGCACGAAAGCGUGGGGAGCAAACAGGAUUAGAUACCCUAGUAGUCCC
rnacentral:rRNA from 1 species